AGGUUGCGCAGAACUUAGACACCUACUAGGCCGCUCAUGGGAUAAUAUCCAGAACCAACUGGAUAAAUUCUGGGAGCGUUGGAUCAAGGAAUACCUUCCAGUAAUAAGACGACAGUCAAAGUGGUUCGAGGACUCCAGGCAGUUGGACGAAGGAGACGUCGUGAUGGUGAUUGACCCUACAAAGCGCAAUGGAUGGGAACGAGGCAGAAUUCUUCGAUUGAUACACAACCCAGAUGGACGUGCAAGGCAAGCUGUGGUACGAACAACUAGUGGCGAGCACAAACGUCCGGUGUCGCGACUGGCAUUAUUAGAUGUUAAAGGUCGUACGAUUCCGGAAGAUACCGAAACGCACCAGGGGGAGACUGUCGCCGAACAAACAGCAACAUUGGCGACACUGGCGUGAAGAGACAGUUCAUCUGACAGUUGACACGAGCACUUUAGUCGAACAUUAACCUAAGAACUUCCGUUCUCAUAGAUAGCUAGAAUUGCUAUAGUUUUAUAUUCCUUCUAAAAGUUAUCAGCCUGUUGAGCUACAUUCGGUGAAAGAAUUCAUUAGUGCUAAUAAUCAUAGCUAGUUUUAUACACAGGUUGUGUAGGUACUUGAUCUGCAUCAUACACGUUGGAUUCCGACUCCGAUUUCGGAUACUUAGUCUCCGCUAAUAAGUCUUCAUCUACCGAGAAUAGCAAUAGCUAGUUGCCAAAUAACAAAUCGGCGUUAAUUGGACUGAAAUGUAAGUCACAUAACCUACAAACUUGUAAUCACCAUCUAAAUAAUAAUUAUAUUAAUUUUAGUUUGAAG